rnacentral:rRNA from 1 species
UACGUAGGGGGCGAGCGUUGUUCGGAGUUACUGGGCGUAAAGGGUGCGUAGGCGGCCCUGUAAGUAUGGUAGUCGAAAUCUCCCCGGCUUAACUGGGAGGGUGCGCUAUAGACUGCGGGCUCGAGUGUGGGAGAGGAAAGUGGAAUUCCUGGUGUAGCGGUGAAAUGACGUAGAUAUCAGGAGGAACACCGGUGGUGUAA